CCCAACUAUCCCUAUUAAUCAUUACGUCGAUCCUAGAAACCAACAAAAUAGGAUCAAACGUCCUAUUUCAUUAUUCCAUGCUAAUGUAUUCAAGCGCGAGCCUGCUUUAAACACUCUAAUUUUUUCAAAGUAACAAUCCUAAUUCCCCGCCACACCAACUGAAUGGCAUUACGGUUCUUCAGAAGGGAGGAAUCAGUGACACCAGUGCAUACUACCGAAGGCACGACCAGCGAACUGAUCCCGAAAUUCAACUACGAGCUUUUUAACUGCAACAACUUUAAUAUACGCUAUUGGAGCUGGAAUUACCGCGGCUGCUGGCACCAGACUUGCCCUCCAA
rnacentral:misc_RNA from 1 species